UACGAAGGGGGCUAGCGUUGCUCGGAAUCACUGGGCGUAAAGCGCACGUAGGCGGACUCUUAAGUCGGGGGUGAAAUCCUGGAGCUCAACUCCAGAACUGCCUCGAUACUGGGAGUCUUGAGUUCGGGAGAGGUGAGUGGAACUGCGAGUGUAGAGGUGAAAUUCGUAGAUAUUCGCAAGAACACCAGUGGCGAAGGCGGCUCACUGGCCCGAUACUGACGCUGAGGUGCGAAAGCGUGGGGAGCAAACAGG
rnacentral:rRNA from 1 species